AUGAUUCCCCCUUCUGAAGAGGAGAUCUUCGAUGCGAUCCGAACUGCCAAUUCUAACGCGGCUUCCAGGCUUGAUGGUUUCUCCAUCCCUUUCUUUAGGCAGUUCUGGCCUCAGUUAAAAGGCCUCAUUCAGGCAAUUAUUCAAGGUUUUUGGCUGGGAACUAUUGACAUCUCUAGAUUGAAUUACGCGGUGCUCACUCUCAUCCCUAAGGUCAAAGGUGCUGACUUGAUCUCCCAGUUUAGGCCCAUUGCCUUAAUUAACAACUUUGCGAAGAUCCCGGCUAAGGGUCUGGCUACAAGGCUUUCUCCGAUCGCCCAUCGCGUCAUUAGCCCUUUCCAAUCGGCGUUUAUAAAGGGUAGAUUUAUUCUGGAUGGUGUUCUAUGCUUGCAUGAGAUUGUCCAUGACUUGCGGACCAAGGGCACUAAGGCAGUGGUUCUUAAACUUGACUUCGAGAAGGCUUAUGACUCGGUGAGCUGGAAUUUUCUUCGCCAAGUCCUU
rnacentral:rRNA from 1 species